GAAGAAGUCCAGAAGAAAGUCGCUGAGCAGACCUUCAUUAAAGAUGAUUACUUAGAAACGCUCUCAUCUCCUAAAGAGUGUGGGUUGGGACAGAGAGCAACUCCACCUCCCCCACCACCACCCACCUACAGGACUGUGGUUUCGUCCCCCGGACCUGGCUCGGGCAGUGGUACGGGGACCGCCAGUGGUGCAUCUUCUCCUGCUCGGCCAGCCACCCCCUUAGUCCCUUGCAGCAGCACCACUCCGCCUCCACCUCCUCCCCGGCCUCCAUCCCGGCCAAAGCUACCUCCGGGAAAGCCU
rnacentral:lncRNA from 1 species